UCUUCCACAAUGGACGAAGGUCUGAUGGAGCAACGCCGCGUGAGUGAAGAAGGGUUUCGGCGCGUAAAGCUCUGUUGGUAGUGAAGAAAGAAAGAGGUAGUAACUGGCCUUUAUUUGACGGUAAUUACUUAGAAAGUCACGGCUAACUACGUUCCAGCAGCCGCGGUAAUACGUAGGUGGCAAGCGUUGUCCGGAUUUAUUGGGCGUAAAGCGAGUGCAGGCGGUUCAAUAAGUCUGAUGUGAAAGCCUUCGGCUCAACCGGAGAAUUGCAUCAGAAACUGUUGAACUUGAGUGCAGAAGAGGAGAGUGGAACUCCAUGUGUAGCGGUGGAAUGCGUAGAUAUAUGGAAGAACACCAGUGGCGAAGGCGGCUCUCUGGUCUGCAACUGACGCUGAGGCUCGAAAGCAUGGGUAGCGAACAGG
rnacentral:rRNA from 1 species